GAUGAACGCUGGCGGCGUGCCUAAUACAUGCAAGUCGAGCGAGCGGCGGACGGGUGAGUAAUGUCUGGGAAACUGCCUGAUGGAGGGGGAUAACUACUGGAAACGGUAGCUAAUACCGCAUACCAUCAGAUGUGCCCAGAUGGGAUUAGCUAGUAGGUGGGGUAACGGCUCACCUAGGCGACGAUCCCUAGCUGGUCUGAGAGGAUGACCAGCCACACUGGAACUGAGACACGGUCCAGACUCCGACGGGAUGCAGCAGUGGGGAAGAGUGCACAAUGGGCGCAAGCCUGAUGCAGCCAUGCCGCGUGUAUGAAGAAGGCUUUCGGGUUGUAAAGUACUUUCAGCGGGGAGGCGUUACCCGCAGAAGAAGCACCGGCUAACUCCGUGCCAGCCGCCGCGGUAAUAC
rnacentral:rRNA from 1 species